CUGGGCUGGCAUAGGCAGGGCUUCUGUAAGGCUAGGAAGAGAAGGGGGCCAUAGGGGGAGAGUGUCUGCAGUCAUCCCCUGCCAGGAGGGAGGUUUGUUAGAGAUUACAGGGCCUGCUAAGAAGCCAAAGGGAGAAAUAGCCACAGGGAGUGGAGAAAGUUCAGAUGGGUAGUAUACCCAGAGGUUUGAAAGAGGAAGCUGUAGAGAAGUAACAACCAGGAAGUAACAACCAGGCCUGGGUGUAAGUAGCCCAUAGUUGUAGCGUAUAGGUCCCUGGACUGGAUCCUGGUGUAGAGGGUAGAGCUACUGGGGAAGUAGUAGAGCCUUGGACAUAAAACACAGGCCUGCCUGGAACAGCAGCUUGUCCAGAAAGACCUUGACAGACCCCUGUAAGGGGAUAAUUAAAGUGAUCUGGCAAGAGGGACCACCCAGAGUUCUGGAGGAUGCAAUUGAAGACAACAAGUGACUGUAGAAGGGGCGUUGAACCAUGGCGAGCUAAUUCCCAGAUGGGCUGCUUGGAGGUGCGCAAGUAAACUCCUAUCAGAACAUCCUUCUGCUGUUGAGCUUCCAACCUGAUACAAUCUUCAGUAAAGCAAAUAGUACCCAAGUGGCAACAGAUGAAGCAUUGUUCCCAGUAGUUGAGCCUCAAAACCCCCUUCCUGCUGGCUUUUCCAGGUUAUCAUCAGCAGGAAUUGAAGGCAGGACCUCAAGCAUGAGCCUUUACUGCUGGAGCUAAAAAACCCAGGCUUCAUAACUCCAAGGCUAUACCAGACUCACAAACCUCCUGUGGACUAGCAACAAGAAACUGACAAGCACCACAACCUUAGCAUUGAUUACACAAACCAUCCAAUCAAGAUAACAGAAAGGAAUUGAAAGCACAGGAGACAGACAAGAAAGAAUGUCCUUUUGCGGCUCUCCACAAUAGAUCAGCUUUGCACCCUGAAAGCAUGACCUUGAUUAAAAGUACGUGACUACUUGGGUCCUGAUUCAGCUUGAAUGUCAAAGGCUUGAAGAAGAGAAGUGUGUAAUCCUGUGGCUUUGUAUCAGAAAGAUUCAUUAAAACCUCUUUUGGUUUUGGA